rnacentral:rRNA from 1 species
ACGGGGAUGCAUUAAGAAGGAGUGCUUGCCUUUCGGAAGGAUGUAUCUUAGUGGCGGACGGGUGAGUAACGCGUGGGUAACCUGCCCCAUACCGGGGGAUACCAUUUGGAAACAGGUGCUAAUACCGCAUAAGCGCACGGGAGCGCAUGCUCCUGUGUGAAAAACUCCGGUGGUAUGGGAUGGACCCGCGUCUGAUUAGCCAGUUGGCAGGGUAACGGCCUACCAAAGCGACGAUCAGUAGCCGGCCUGAGAGGGUGGACGGCCACAUUGGGACUGAGACACGGCCCAAACUCCUACGGGAGGCAGCAGUGGGGAAUAUUGCACAAUGGGGGAUUCCCUGAUGCAGCGACGCCGCGUGAGUGAAGAAGUAUUUCGGUAUGUAAAGCUCUAUCUUCAUGAACGAGAACAGACGGUACCUGACUAAGAAGCCCCGGCUAACUACGUGCCAACCACCCCGGUAAUACGUAGGGGGCAAGCGUUAUCCAGAAUCACUGUGUGUAAAGGGAGCGUAGACGGCUGAGCAAGCCUGAAUUGAAAGGUGAGGGCCCAACCCCCGGACUGCUUUGGGAACUGUACGGCUGGAGUGCAGGAGAGGUAAGUGGAAUUCCUAGUGUAGCGGUGAAAUGCGUAGAUAUUAGGGAGAACACCAGUGGCGAGAGGCGGCUUACUGGACUGUAACUGACGUUGAGGCUCGAAAGCGUGGGGACCUUUUUAGGGGNNUNCCNNNNNNUCCNNCNCNNNNNCGACCCUUUAUGGAGUCNNNNNGCAGAGGCCCCUCAAACCGCAGCAAACGCAAUAAGUAAUCCACCUGGGGUGUACGUCUGCAAGGAUGACCCUCCUUUUUUUUAAAAAAGACCCGCACUCGCGGGGGGGGGGGAAAAAAAAAAAAAAGCAACGCGAAGAACCUUACCCGGCCUUGACAUCCCCCUGACAGCAUAAAAAAAAAAUGUUCCUUUCGGGGCAGGGGAGACAGGUGGUGCAUGGUUGUCGUCAGCUCGUGUCGUGAGAUGUUGGGUUAAGUCCCGCAACGAGCGCAACCCUUACCCACAGUAGCCAGCACAAAAGGUGGGCACUCUGUGGGGACUGCCGGGGACAACCCGGAGGAAGGUGGGGAUGACGUCAAAUCAUCAUGCCCCUUAUGGCCGGGGCUACACACGUGCUACUUGGAGAUAAACAAAGGGAAGCGAGAGAGUGAUCU